AACGAACGCUGGCGGCAUGCCUAACACAUGCAAGUCGAACGAGACCUUCGGGUCUAGUGGCGCACGGGUGCGUAACGCGUGGGAACCUGCCCUUAGGUUCGGAAUAACUCCCCGACAGGGGUUCUAAUACCGGAUAAUGUCUUCGGACCAAUGGUUUAUCGCCUUAGGAUGGGCCCGCGUUGGAUUAGCGAGUUGGUAGGGUAAAAGCAGACCAAGGUGACGAUCCAUAGCUGGACGGAGAGGAUGAUCAGACACACUGGGACUGAGACAAGGCGCAGACUCCUACGGGAGGCAGCAGUGGGGAAUAGUGGACAAUGGGCGAAAGCCUGAUCCAGCAAGGCCGCGUGAGUGAUGAAGGCGUUAGGGUUGUAAAGCUCUGUUACCCGGGAUGAUAAUGACAGUACCGGGAGAAUAAGCUCCGGCUAACUCCGUG
rnacentral:rRNA from 1 species